rnacentral:rRNA from 1 species
CUGGCGGCAGGCCUAACACAUGCAAGUCGAACGGUAACAGGAAGCAGCUUGCUGUUUCGCUGACGAGUGGCGGACGGGUGAGUAAUGUCUGGGAAACUGCCUGAUGGAGGGGGAUAACUACUGGAAACGGUAGCUAAUACCGCAUAACGUCGCAAGACCAAAGAGGGGGACCUUCGGGCCUCUUGCCAUCGGAUGUGCCCAGAUGGGAUUAGCUAGUAGGUGGGGUAACGGCUCACCUAGGCGACGAUCCCUAGCUGGUCUGAGAGGAUGACCAGCCACACUGGAACUGAGACACGGUCCAGACUCCUACGGGAGGCAGCAGUGGGGAAUAUUGCACAAUGGGCGCAAGCCUGAUGCAGCCAUGCCGCGUGUAUGAAGAAGGCCUUCGGGUUGUAAAGUACUUUCAGCGGGGAGGAAGGGAGUAAAGUUAAUACCUUUGCUCAUUGACGUUACCCGCAGAAGAAGCACCGGCUAACUCCG